GUAGGGAAUAUUGGUCAAUGGACGAAAGUCUGAACCAGCCAUUCCGCGUGCAGGAAGAAGAUUCUAUGGAUUGUAAACUGCUUUUAGCAGAGAAGAAACGCCUUCAUUGAUGAGGGUUUGACGGUAUCUGCGGAAUAAGCACCGGCUAACUCCGUGCCAGCAGCCGCGGUAAUACGGGGGAUGCAAGCGUUAUCCGGAAUCACUGGGAUUAAAGGGUGCGUAGGCGGGAAAUUAAGUCAGUGGUGAAAGUCUGUUGCUUAACGAUAGAAUUGCCGUUGAUACUGAUUUUCUUGAAUUGGGUUGAGGUUAGCGGAAAGUGACAUGUAACGGUGAAAUGCAUAGAUAUGUCAUGGAACACCAAUUGCGAAGGCAGCUAGCUGGGCCUUGAUUGACGCUGAGGCACGAAAGCGUGGGUAGCGAACAGGAUUAGAAACCCGGGUAGUCC
rnacentral:rRNA from 1 species